AGGGUUCGAUUCUGGCUCAGGACGAACGCUGGCGGCGUGCUUAAUACAUGCAAGUUGAGCGGAGCUAAUAGUGAGUUUACUUAUUAUUAGUCGAGCAGUGGACGGGUGAGUAACGCGUGGGCAAUCUGCCCUCUAGUUUGGGAUAACAGUUCGAGAGGACUGCUAACACCGAAUAAUCUUAAAUUUGGGCAUCUAAAUUUAAGGAAAGUUAACGCUAGAGGAUGAGCCCGCGUCCCAUUAGCUAGUUGGUGAGGUAACGGCCCACCAAGGCAACGAUGGGUAGCCGACCUGAGAGGGUGACCGGCCACACUGGGACUGAGACACGGCCCAGACUCCUACGGGAGGCAGCAGUAGGGAAUUUUCCGCAAUGGACGAAAGUCUGACGGAGCAACGCCGCGUGAGGGAUGAAGGUUUUCGGAUCGUAAACCUCUGUCCUUGGGGAAGAUAAUGACGGUACCCAAGGAGGAAGCCACGGCUAACUACGUGCCAGCCGCCGC
rnacentral:rRNA from 1 species